rnacentral:rRNA from 1 species
AUUGAACGCUGGCGGAAUGCUUUACACAUGCAAGUCGAACGGCAGCACGGACUUCGGUCUGGUGGCGAGUGGCGAACGGGUGAGUAAUAUAUCGGAACGUAUCCAAUAAUGGGGGAUAACUAAUCGAAAGGUUGGCUAAUACCGCAUACGUCCUACGGGAGAAAGCUAGGGACCUUCGGGCCUGGCGUUAAUGGAGCGGCCGAUAUAGGAUUAGAUAGGUGGUGAGGUAAAGGCGCACCAAGGCAACGAUCCGUAGCUGGUCUGAGAGGACGACCAGCCACACUGGAACUGAGACACGGUCCAGACUCCUACGGGAGGCAGCAGUGGGGAAUUUUGGACAAGGGGCGAAAGCCUGAUCCAGCCAUUCCGCGUGAGUGAAGAAGGCCUUCGGGUUGUAAAGCUCUUUCGCAAGAGAAGAAAACUUACCCUCUAACAUAGGGUGAGGUUGACGGUAUCUUGAUAAGAAGCACCGGCUAACUACGUGCCAGCCGCCGCCGUAA